UACAGAGGUCUCAAGCGUUGUUCGGAUUCUUUGGGCGUAAAGGGUGUGUAGGUGGCGCGCUAAGUCGGGUGUGAAAUUUCGGAGCUUAACUCCGAAACUGCAUUCGAUACUGGCGUGCUUGAGGACUGGAGAGGAGACUGGAAUUCAUGGUGUAGCAGUGAAAUGCGUAGAGAUCAUGAGGAAGACCAGUGGCGAAGGCGGGUCUCUGGACAGUUCCUGACACUGAGGCACGAAGGCCAGGGGAGCAAACGGG
rnacentral:rRNA from 1 species